AAGCUUGCCAUCAUUUCUAUACUCUAUCUAAAUUGGAACAUCUCAACGUAUUCCAAAUCACCGCAUUUCCAAUGUGAUGCUUCAAACUUAACAGAAAUAUGUAUAAAAGAGGGUAGCCACAGGUGUUCUGCCCAGGGACCUGCGGCAACAUAGCCUUAGAGGAAGGGCCUGGACUUGGAAGCUACACUGAGGCGGAAUCCUAACCACUGCGCCACCAGGGAAGUCCCUUACUCCUGUCUUCAAGAAACCAAGGAAUAUUUGUUGUGUGACCCCUGCAGACCAGGGACUGUG